GCUUCAGUAGAUAGACCAAGACUAAGAAACCGAAGGCUUAAUAGCACCUCUGAACACUGUCAGCAGGACACGUAUGUCUACAUACGCCAGAAAUUGAUAAAAUGAGAAGACUUGUAUUCCAAGUCUCUGUUGAUGUACAUUUAGAUGAAGACUAGAUACACCAUUCUGGCACAAGUGAGAGAGGGGGAAGGAGGGGAGCCACUUGAAUUGUAUUUGUCACUGGCAAGAGUGCCCAGGAAACAUCUCACCAUGGAUAACAUCACUGUCUGAAACAAGCAAACAGGAAAGACCAUGCCACUGUGGUAUCUGUGGUUCUUAUUUAUGUGGUGAGCUUGGGUACAAUGCAAGAAGAGACAAAACACAUGAAAAAAUUCCAGUUCCUGUUUUGAGAAACACAAUAGAUCACAUCCUUAGAACUUGAGAAAAAAGUAAAAAAA